rnacentral:rRNA from 1 species
UGCAAGUCGAGCGAGAAGUAGCAAUACGAGUAAAGCGGCGCACGGGUGAGUAACACGUAGGAAUCUACCCUUGAGUGGGGAAUACCGUUCCGAAAGGAACGUUAAUACCGCAUAACGACCGCAUUCGAUGGAAUGUUGUCUAAAGGGGGCUCUCGCAAGAGGCUCCUGCUUGAGGACGAGCCUGCGUCCCAUUAGCUAGUUGGUAGGGUAAUGGCCUACCAAGGCGACGAUGGGUAACUGGUCUGAGAGGACGACCAGUCACACUGGAACUGACACACGGUCCAGACUCCUACGGGAGGCAGCAGUGGGGAAUAUUGCGCAAUGGAGGAAACUCUGACGCAGCGACGCCGCGUGGGUGAUGAAGGCCUUCGGGUUGUAAAGCCCUGUCGGUUGGGAAAAAGGUAGUCGUGCUAAUACCACGAUUGCUUGAUGGUACCAGCAAAGGAAGCACCGGCUAACUCUGUGCCAGCAGCCGCGGUAAUACAGAGGGUGCAAGCGUUGUUCGGAAUUACUGGGCGUAAAGGGCGCGUAGGCGGUUUAGUAAGUCAGAUGUGAAAGCCCGGGGCUUAACCCCGGAAGUGCGUUUGAAACUGCUAGGGCUAGAGUGCAGUAGAGGUUGGUGGAAUUCCCAGUGGAGAGGUGAAAUUCGUAGAUAUUGGGAGGAACACCGGUGGCCGAAGGCCGGCCAACUGGGCUGUAACUGACGCUGAGGCGCGAAAGCGUGGGUAGCAAACAGGAUUAGAUACCCUGGUAGUCCACGCUGUAAACGAUGGAUACUCGCUGUGGCUGGUAUUGACCCCGGCCGUAGCCCAGUUAACACGUUAAGUAUCCCCGCCUGGGAAGUACGGUCGCAAGAUUAAACUCAAAGGAAUUGAGCGGGGCCCGCACAAGCGGUGGAUUAUGUGGUUUAAUUCGA